rnacentral:misc_RNA from 1 species
CUGAUUUGCUUAAUUGCACCACAUGUGUUUUUUAUUGAACAAAUUUCUUUGGUGGCGGGAGCAAUCCUACCGCCAGAGGUUAUAACUAAACCAAACUUUUUAUUUACAGUCAAACUUGAUUUAUUAUUACAAUAGUCA